UGCAAACAAUGAAACAAAGAAUCACAAACUAAUAUUCAUAGAAUAUUUAUUUUUUUUAAUGUUUUUGAUAGUUUUUAUUAUAGUAUCUUGAAAUAAUGAACUUUAGUAUAUGUUGAAAAAAAGUCUAUGAGUGCUUUGUAUGUUCUUUUAAUUUUUGUUAAUAUGUGACUUUGUAAAAUGUACAAUCACACUUCACAACACAUUUUAAAAUUAUCUUAGUAAA
rnacentral:lncRNA from 1 species